CGAGGCUUGAGGCAGGAGGAGGACGAGGAGACAAGGAGGCGAGCAAGAGCAACAAGGGAUGAGCAGCCUCACGGACUCGGCGUAUUCCUCCACGAGUUAGUGCAUAUAUUUUAGUAGAGAUGACGAGAUGAUCUGGCUGUUGGAUUGUUUGGUGGUUCAUCGAUCUAUCUAUCUAUUAUGGUUUUCAUACUGAAGUUGAUCAGUUUGUGAAUCUCUCUGUCGAUUAGUUGCCUAUUUGACUGGCCUACCAAUUCUGGGAUAUUAGAGAUUGAAUUACUGUCAAGAGUACAACAAGGUUGUCACCUAAUCAGCAGACCUCUCCACCCUUCAGGUAUGCCGGCGUUUUGUGAUGAGAUGCGAGGUUGGAUGGAGCUUUGAGGGCAUCCAGUUUGGUGGCGACACACCACAUCUAUUUAUUCUUUCCCAAUUACACUGC